rnacentral:rRNA from 1 species
CCGAAUUAUUGGGUUAAGGCGCGUCGGCGCGCUUUCAAGUCCGAGUGAAUUCUCUGUGUCUAAGCUGGGAAUUGCUUGGAACUGAGUCUGAGUCAGGAGAGUAUCGGAAUUCCUGGGUAGCGGUGAAUGCGUAGAUUUGAGAGGAACUCCGUGAGCGAGGGCGGCUAUCUGAUCAGAUACUGACGUGAGGCCGGAAGUUGGGGAGCAAACCAGGAUAGAUACCUGGUAGUCCCCGGUUAACGAUGAAUUCUAGGUUAGAGGGUUGACUCCUUUGUGCCGCAGUUAACCCAUUAAGUUUCCACUUGGGAAGUACGUCGGCAAGUUAGAAUUCAAAGGAAUUGACCGGGGACCCGCACAAGCAGUGGAGUAUGUGGUUUUAUUUGAAAGCAACCGCGAAGAACCUUACCCGAUGCUGGACAUCAGUAUAGAAUACAGGAGAAACAGUGUAGUCUCUCGGGACAUUAUACCAGUUGGUCCAUGUUGGUCUUCAGCUCGUUCGUAAGAUGUUGGGUUAAGUCCCGCAACAAGCGCAACCCUAGUCAUAAGUAGCCAGCAGUAGAGUUGGGCACUUUAGUGAGACUGCCGGUGAGAAAUUGGAGGAAAGUGGGGGAGACGUCAAAUCAUCAUGCCCCUUAUGUCCUGGGCUACACACGUACUACAAUGGCUAUUACCGAAGGCAGGGAAGGAGUAAUCCGGAACGAAUUCCCACAAAAAGCUCCCAGUUCGGAUUUUGUGGCUGAAACCCGCCCACAUGAAAGUGGAAGGCUAGUUAAGCAGGUCAA